rnacentral:rRNA from 1 species
UCAACGGAGAGUUUGAUCCUGGCUCAGGACGAACGCUGGCGGCGUGCUUAACACAUGCAAGUCGAGCGGUAAGGCCCUUCGGGGUACACGAGCGGCGAACGGGUGAG